AGACACCCUUCUGGGGCAAGACUUGCUUCAGUGGGGCUUUGGUGCUCACUGAGUCUGCUCCCUGAGUGUGUUUCU
rnacentral:pre_miRNA from 1 species